UGUAGAUGUACACAUCGCAAUAAUGCUCUAGGGCUCUUUAACACUGGCAUUUUGCAGAACUCACCAUAUUUCUCGCAAGAUAGCUUUGCUUUCACUUUCCAGAAGUGGUCGUGCACAACAAGACGCGAGUCAGCAUCCCUCAGGGGUGCCAGUCAGUUGUCCCAAGCCACAGAGGAGAACAGCACUCUGAUUCUAUUCGCAGCGAGGAACCCUGAAGAACUGCCUUCUGGGAGCCAGGUCUGCGUCUCUGCCCCACCGCUGUCUUAG
rnacentral:lncRNA from 1 species